rfam:Phaethon lepturus contig129823, whole genome shotgun sequence.
GUUAAAAGCUAGGGCUAGGACUUGGAGGAUGUGUAGGCAAAACGGAAGGAGAGCCGGGGGAAGAAAAACCGAAAUGGAUUCAUUCUCUGUCCUGGAUGGAGCAGGAGAAGAGGAGAAGGGGACGCGUGAGCUUCCUUCAGCUGCCUCUGUCCGGCGAAAAGUGCUCCGACCCCCGGGGCUGAGCGGGGCUCAGGAGUCCGCCCGGACUUUCGCCUUAGGCUGCCAAUCAAAGCGCUAACUAGCCACCGCCCUGAUCGGGUACCGACAC